ACGCUCGACACCUACGGGGGGCAGCAGUCGGGAAUAUUGCGCAAUGGAGGAAACUCUGACGCAGUGACGCCGCGUAUAGGAAGAAGGUUUUCGGAUUGUAAACUAUUGUCGUUAGGGAAGAAAAAAGACAGUACCUAAGGAGGAAGCUCCGGCUAACUACGUCNAGNCGCGGUAGUAUNGNGGCGUGNGAGAG
rnacentral:rRNA from 1 species